GAACAUGCGACGACCGGAAGAAGUAAUUCCUCAGGCUGCAAAAGAGAGAAAGCGUCAUCGGCUGAAAGCGCUUUUUGCCAUGCGGAGGAACGAAAUGCGUCCGCGAGCAUGCGGGGGGAACUUUCAGUAUCCCCGCACGGGCAGCCCCGUUACCGGCAUUCAUGAGAAAUAAAGCGGAGUGGAACCGCGGCAGACGCCGCCUCCGUC
rnacentral:ncRNA from 1 species